rnacentral:rRNA from 1 species
GUUAUGCGUUGUAAACUGCUUUUAUACAGGAAGAAACGACUCUUGCGAGAGGCAUUGACGGUACUGUAUGAAUAAGCACCGGCUAACUCCGUGCCAGCAGCCGCGGUAAGACGGACGGCGCAAGCGUUGUCCGGAUUUAUUGGGUUUAAAGGGUGCGCAGGUGGUUUAUUAAGUCACUGGUGAAAGACGGUCG